GAAUGUCAAACAUAUAAUUACAGAUCUUGAUCAACCCCCUCAACAAGUUGACAAUCUUGCAAUCACUUAUUUCAUACAAAAAAAAAAAAAAAAAAAAAAUCUCUAUAGGUAAUCACAACAAAACUUAGGUAACCUGAGUUGAUUGGUUUGGUGGCUUUCUCAUGCAAGAUAAAAUAGUUGUGUUAUCCAAUUCCGGAUACCUUCCCGCCUAGAUGAAUUCAACAAUCACCCUAUCCAUAAACUCGGCACGGGUGUCUUUUCCAAAGGGGCAACCUUC
rnacentral:lncRNA from 1 species